rnacentral:rRNA from 1 species
CCUACGGGGGGCAGCAGUGGGGGAUAUUGCACAAUGGGGGGAACCCUGAUGCAGCGACGCCGCGUGGGUGAAGAAGCGCCUCGGCGCGUAAAGCCCUGUCAGCAGGGAAGAAAAUGACGGUACCUGAAGAAGAAGCCCCGGCUAACUACGUGCCAGCAGCCGCGGUAAUACGUAGGGGGCAAGCGUUAUCCGGAUUUACUGGGGGUAAAGGGGGCGCAGGCGGCCAGUUAAGUCAGCGGGAAAAGCCCGGGGGGCAACCCCGGCGAGCCGUUGAAACUGGCGGGCUGGAGUUGGAGAGAAGGACGCGGAAUGCGCGGUGUAGCGGUGAAAUGCUUAGAUAUCGCGCAGAACCCCGAUGGCGAAGGCAGCGUACCGGCUCCACACUGACGCUGAGGCACGAAAGCGUGGGUAUCGAACAGGAUUAGAUACCCCGGUAGUC